UACGUAGGGGGCAAGCGUUGUCCGGAAUUAUUGGGCGUAAAGAGCGUGUAGGCGGUCCGGUAAGUCAGCUGUGAAAGUCAAGGGCUCAACCCUUGAAUGCCGGUUGAUACUGUCGGGCUAGAGUCCGGAAGAGGCGAGUGGAAUUCCUGGUGUAGCGGUGAAAUGCGCAGAUAUCAGGAAGAACACCCGUGGCGAAGGCGGCUCUCUGGGACGGUACUGACGCUGAGACGCGAAAGCGUGGGGAGCGAACAGG
rnacentral:rRNA from 1 species